CAGUCGCCGCGGUAAUACGAAGGGUGCAAGCGUUAAUCGGAAUUACUGGGCGUAAAGCGUGCGUAGGCGGUGAGUUAAGUCUGCUGUGAAAUCCCCGGGCUCAACCUGGGAAUGGCAGUGGAUACUGGCUCGCUAGAGUGUGUCAGAGGAUGGUGGAAUUCCCGGUGUAGCGGUGAAAUGCGUAGAGGUCGGGAGGAACAUCAGUGGCGAAGGCGGCCAUCUGGGACAACACUGACGCUGAGGCACGAAAGCGUGGGGAGCAAACAGGAUUAGAUACCCCGGUAGUCCCUGUCUCUUUACA
rnacentral:rRNA from 1 species